GACGAACGCUGGCGGCGUGCUUAACACAUGCAAGUCGAACGGAAAGGCCUGCAGCUUGCUGCGGGUACUCGAGUGGCGAACGGGUGAGUAACACGUGGGUGAUCUGCCUUGCACUUCGGGAUAAGCUUGGGAAACUGGGUCUAAUACCGGAUAGGACAGCUGUUUAGUGUCAGUUGUGGAAAGUUUUUUCGGUGCAAGAUGAGCUCGCGGCCUAUCAGCUUGUUGGUGGGGUAAUGGCCUACCAAGGCGUCGACGGGUAGCCGGCCUGAGAGGGUGUACGGCCACAUUGGGACUGAGAUACGGCCCAGACUCCUACGGGAGGCAGCAGUGGGGAAUAUUGCACAAUGGGCGGAAGCCUGAUGCAGCGACGCCGCGUGGGGGAUGAAGGCCUUCGGGUUGUAAACUCCUUUCGACAGGGGCGAAGCGUAAGUGACGGUACCUGUAUAAGAAGCACUGGCUAACUACGUGCCAGCAGCCGCGGUAAUACGUAGGGUGCGAGCGUUGUCCGGAAUUACUGGGCGUAAAGAGCUCGUAGGUGGUUUGUCGCGUCGUCUGUGAAAUUCCGGGGCUUAACUCCGGGCGUGCAGGCGAUACGGGCUGACUUGAGUGCUGUAGGGGAGACUGGAAUUCCUGGUGUAGCGGUGAAAUGCGCAGAUAUCAGGAGGAACACCGAUGGCGAAGGCAGGUCUCUGGGCAGUAACUGACGCUGAGGAGCGAAAGCAUGGGUAGCGAACAGGAUUAGAUACCCUGGUAGUCCAUGCCGUAAACGGUGGGCGCUAGGUGUAGGGGGCUUCCACGUCUUCUGUGCCGUAGCUAACGCAUUAAGCGCCCCGCCUGGG
rnacentral:rRNA from 1 species